UUGAUGAACAAUAACUCGUUGGAGCUAUUUUGUCAUACUUGAGAUUUUCCAGAAAAUAGAACAAGCCCACAGAAUGGGUUUAAUCUGCCAAAGCAUCUCCCUCUUUACAAGCAUCUACACAGGCCUCCAGCCCUAAGUACUUUCACCUGGACAAUGUUAUGAAGCUUAAUCCAGUACUAGUAGCAGAAAGACUUGUGAAGCUGGGAUUAUGAGCGCCUGCCAUCAUGCCUGGCUAAUUUUUGUAUUUUUAGUAGAGGUGGGGUUUCGCCAUGUUGGCCAGGCUGGUCUUGAACUCCUGACCUCAGGAUCGGCACCCCAAAGUGCUGGGAUUACAGGUGCGAGUCUGCACCGGGCCAUAUUGCUAAUUUUAGAAGUGUUUUUAAACACAUUAAACCCAGCCUCUUUUCUUUUCUUUCUUUUUUUUUUUUUUUUUUUUUUUUGAGACGGAGUCUCAGUCGCCCAGGCUGGAGUGCAGUGGCGUGAUCUUGGCUCACUGCAAGCUCCGCCUCCAAGGUUCACGCCAUUCUGCUGCCUUGUCUCCCAAAUAGCUGGGACUACAGGCGCCCGCCACCACACCCGGCUAAUUUUUUGUAUUUUUUAGUAGAGACGGGGUUUCACCAUGUUAGCCAGGAUGGUCUCGAUCUCCUGACCUUGUGAUCUGCCCGCCUCGGCCUCCCAAAGUGCUGGGAUUACAGGCGUGAGCCACUGCACCCAGUCUCUUUUCUUUAUAAAUUACCCAGUCUCAGGUCGUUCUUUAUAGCAAUGUGAGAAUGAACUAAUACAAUACGCUUAUUCUUAACAUAGUGGAAAUUAACUCAAAUGUUUUAAAAUGAAAGAAAAUUCAAUGACCAAACAGAACCCAAAACCACACACUGGAUUUGGCUCAGGUUUUCAGCCUCUGCUUUAAACUAAUCCAUGUCGUCAUCUUGGAAGAUGCUCAGAGUUAUUGUUCUGUGACGUGACCUAUUUGUGUUUUUCCUGCGGCCUUGGUGCCUCAGAAUGACAGUAAUGGUAGAUAUUGCAGAGGGGAUAUGUUUUUGGUAACAGCACAUGGAAAGUCACCUACUCCACCUUUGGGCCAGCUUGUCUAAAUACCCAACUGCAGUCAUAUAAUUUACAGAGCCUGGUGACUCUACCAUCAAGCAUGUAAUCUCUGCCUAAGCACCCAACUCCCUUAGGCUUACCAUGUGUGAUCACAGAAUCUGAGAAUGUUAGAGCCAGGAGGACCCUUGGGAUCACCCUGACCUGCCUCCUGCUUCAGCAAGAAAGUGAAGGUCACAUGGGGUAGGGUCUUGCCUGGGGUCACUCAGCUUUUCAGUGACCCACUUGGAGCAAUAGCAUAGCCUCUUAAACCUCUGACUCUAUUUUCUUCCCCUUUUCCUGUAGCUUCCAUUUACAGCUAUAAAAUAAUUGUCUUUGCUUCAACUCCACAUCUUCCUCAGAAAGGGUAGUCCUCUGAGUCACUGGGAUUCCAAGUCAUGAAGGGCAGUUUGAAUGAGUGGCCAGUACUGUGGUAUACUUAUGGCCGAGGUCAAAAACAGGACCAGCAGAAUGCCGAAUCCCAGGAAUUCUUAUACAGCAAACCAAAACUCCCCCUUCCUGUGCACUUUCAACUGAUUGCCUUCUGUUUCCUUCACUAGAGAAUCACAAAGUCUCCCUUUUACUUCUAAAAAAAAAAAAAAGUGGCAAAACAUAAAAGCAAGCAAAAUAAUUUGUCCAGAUUAAGAACACAGUGGGAAGGCCAGGCGCAGUGGCUCAUGCCUGUAAUCCCAGCACUUUGGCAGGCCAAGCCAGGCAGAUCACUUGAGGCCAGGAGUUCAAGACCAUGCUGGCCAACAUGGCGAAACCCCAUCUCUACUAAAAAUACAAAAAUUACCAGGCAUGGUGGUGCACGCCUGUAACCCCAGCUACUUGGGAGGCUGAGACAUGAGAAAUGCUUGAACCUAGGAGGUGGAGGUUGCAGUAAGCCAAAGUCAUGCCACUGCACUCCACCCUGGGUGACAGAGUGACUAUUUUACUAUUUUACUCACUGUGACUAUUUAAAAACAUUUCUGAAGUGGCAGCAGCAACCAAGUAGCUGAAUGGAAGCAAAUUGUCCUGCUCUAGACCAGGGAGAUCAGACACCUUCCCAGCUCUGAGCUCUGGUAGGCAGGGCACUGGGAAGGUGUCUGACCCCUGCACCUCUUUAGCUGACUCCUUCUGUAAAAAUGGUGAAUAGAGCUUGGUUGGCCCACGAGGCAGAUGUCCUCCUCCUUCCUGCUUCCAUCAGCCCAGGGCUCAGGGUCCUGCCCAGAAACAAACAAACAAACAAACAAAAAAACACCUUAUGACAGGUGACCACAGCCAGCCACAGGCUCCUUCCAGAGAGCCUGCAUGGUAUU
rnacentral:lncRNA from 1 species